AUGAUGCAUGGUUUCAUCGUCGUUUUCUUAUGCGCAAACCAUUGUUUUUUGCGCGUUGUGGAGGGAGUAGGGGCACACAAUGACUACUUCAAACUCACAAGGGAUUGUUGCGGCCAACUUUCUUUCUCUGCUAAGCAGAAAUGCACGGCUGCUCUGAGGAUGCUUGCACUUGGUACUACCGCUGAUGCCAUUGGUGAGAUGGUCCGGAUGGAGGAGAGUACAUGCUUGAAUACUACUGUUAGGUUUGUCCGCGCCGUGGUGCAGGUGUUUGAAGCAGAGUAUCUAAGAGAACCAAAUGUGCAGGACACAUAA
rnacentral:rRNA from 1 species